rnacentral:ribozyme from 1 species
UGCCCAGCAACUCCUAUCCCUACCUCCUCGCGGUACCGGCCGGAAACUAUGAGCAACCUUAGGGAAGAUCGGGUAACCAACCCCGGUGGGAACUUUGGUCGUACUGUCGUAGGCUGACAGGGAAGG